rnacentral:rRNA from 1 species
UCGAGAAUUUUUCUCAAUGGGCGAAAGCCUGAAGGAGCGACGCCGCGUGGGGGAUGAAGGGCUUCGGUCCGUAAACCCCUGUCAUUUGCGAACAAACCUCUUCACCUAACACGUGGAGAGCUGAUUGUAGCGGAAGAGGAAGGGACGGCUAACUCUGUGCCAGCAGCCGCGGUAAUACAGAGGUCCCAAGCGUUGUUCGGAUUCACUGGGCGUAAAGGGUGCGUAGGUGGUCGGGUAAGUUUGAUGUGAAAUCUCCAAGCUCAACUUGGAAACUGCAUUGAAUACUAUUCGGCUCGAGGGUUGGAGAGGAGACUGGAAUUCUCGGUGUAGCAGUGAAAUGCGUAGAUAUCGAGAGGAACACCGGUGGCGAAGGCGAGUCUCUGGACAACUCCUGACACUGAGGCACGAAAGCUAAGGGAGCAAACAGGAUUAGAUACCCCGGUAGUCC